rnacentral:tRNA from 1 species
GCGCCCGUAGCUCAAUUGGAUAGAGUGCCUGGCUACGAACCAGUAGGUUGGCCGUUCGAAUCGGCCCGGGCGCGCCA